AAGACCCCAUAACAAUGCUGCAGAUACAGAAUCAAGUUUUCAAGUUGAUCAAAGUAUGUGAUAUGGGAGAAGAUAUUAUUACCUGAUCGAGGGGUGCAGCAUCUGAAUUUAAAUAUCCUGUCCUCGGCCCCGUUGUGAUGAACACUAUGAACGCCAUUUAGAUAGCCUUCGUUUGGACAGGUGAAGAGAACCAGUGCAUCAUAGUUAUUGACGUAGCCUGUAAACAUAAUAGAUACAGGUGUAUUCAAUGGCUUCGAGAGCGACUUGUAGCGGAAAAUUUGCUCCAUGAUGACAGGAAAGCUUCGUCUCAGGAACGUAGUGUCUGGUGGGUCACAAAGACUUCGCUUUUCCUCGCAGUAAACAUUUUUCUUUAUGUCAUCGGGGUAACAAGUGUGUGACUGUCAGUCAAUAUGUUGAGUCUCAAUAGCUCAGGGGUUAGAGCACUGGCACAGUAAGUGCCAUUUACGACAUAACGAGUCCUUUUGAUAUUGUAAGCCCAAUCAAUCCAUCAAUUGCUCAGGCACACAUUAAACUUAAGAUACAUACAGAAACAAAUAUAUUAAACUGUUACAUACCAGACCAGCUACAAUACACGGCACCAGAAACGGAGUACACUCGCCUGCAUUCAAAGUCAAAUAUCCUGUCCUCUGGACCGUUAUCGUGUUUUGACGUGAAACGGCUAAUUGAGUACAGGUCUGAAUGACAAUUGAAGUUGAGUGGCUGAUCGUAGCUGUUUUUCCAACCUGAGACAACUACGGAAACCACGACCACAUAUAACGCAGGAGCCAAUGAAAACAUCUUGUUAUUCCUGAAAAAGAUUAUUAUAAUUUUUGUCCAUAUCAAUUUAAGCCUAUAUAAGCACAAAUAAAGACUUUGUCAGUU
rnacentral:misc_RNA from 1 species